CGUUAGUUGACCCCUCGGCACCUCAUAAUUUUCAGGAUGACUGCCGUAUCGGUAAGAAGGUAUCAGGGCUGUCAACCCCCGAGAUAUUCAAAUCUGGAGAAUUGAUAGGGAAGGGACAUGAGGUCACAGCGCUUCAAAAAACACGCGAAAAGACGUCUUUCGCUUUGUAACAUUUGAUGUGAUUGGUUUAUUUUUGACUGCUUGCAAGAACACUUUUUGAGGAACGUUUUGAUUUUGUUAGCGAUGUAUAAUAACACAAACAACACAAAAUAAUUGGAAUUUUAUUGUCAAAGUCGAGUCUUACAAGAAAUGGUCGGCUUCGGGGAUUAUCCGGGAGAUUUGAGACUCUAAUCUGGAGACCGGGAGAUACGGUCCAAAAUCUGGAGACUCCCGGUUUAUCCGGGAGAGUUGACAGCCCUGAGGUAUUUUCCCAGACAAUCUCAGUGGGCGAAAACUGACGAGAGUAGUUUAUGCAUGUGCAGUGAAUAGCACCUUAAAUGUGUCCCAGCUCGUACCCAGAGCUCCUCGGUUUCGAGGAGCAGUAUAGCUAAGUAUAGCUAGGUCUUUUACUAAGUUGUGUCAACACAGGUGUCUAAGAUAAACAUGCACUAUAGACGCUAAUGCUUCAUCAAACACGUGUGAGAAUUCUCAAAAACUGCUCAAAAUAAACCAUAAGUAAUUUCGUUACCUGCUGCUGGCGUAAAAAUGACAACUGUAGGAAGUAGGUGGUUAAAUAUAGAACAGACUUUCACAUAGGGUUAAGAGUAUUAAUAAGGGUUUUUAUUCGAGUAGUCCGGAUUGUCAUAGAAGUUUACACUGAACAAGUACCCAAUGACGUUAAGUAGACCUAAAACAAACAGAGGAUAAAAAUGAAUGCUAAGUUCAGUUCAUUUGUAUGAGAAAAUUAGAAUGUACUAAAUCAGAACUAACAAUUUGAAAAUUUUAAAAUGGAGGAGAAUCCUCUAGUUUCUGCAGAGAAUGUUGUCCUGUAACUUUUACGUUUCCAUUACUAUAUAAGAAGUCCACUGAAGACAAGCAGUUUAAGCUAUAGACUUCCAGGAACCGAAACUACAAAUAUUUGUACUCUUAUUUCCUUGUUUUUUGUUGGUUUUUUUUUUUUUUUAAGCGAAAGGCACAUUUCGGUGGUUGGAUUGAUUCCUUCCGCCUGUGUUCUAAUGGUACCAGCUUUGUCCUGUCAUCUCAUCCAGUGCUUCGCCAUAUUUUGUCUUGGGAAAGCCGGCACAGCGCUGUCUUUACUAAGCAUGCCUGACUUUGAGGUACACUAAUGACGCAAUAUUCAAGUCGCAAGUUUAUAGCUGUCGAGCGCCGCACCUUUUUGGAGACAUGUUUGUUCGUCGACUGAUCAAUCUUCAUCCAAGCAGAAACAGUGUCAAAUGAUUUACUGAUCUAUAUUUGCGUCUAUAAUUACCCAGUGACAGCGAAUAAAAUACUCAUAAUUAGCUUUGUUUAAUUGCUACAUAAUGGCGACCCUGAACGAAGACAACCUUUUGAAACGGUGUUUAGAGAAAGAAUUCGAAGGUGAACUUGCACUAAUCUUUUUUUAGCCACUUCUGUGUGGAAAUUACGAAUCAAAUCAAAUCAAAACAACAGUUAGGAAUGGGUUUCCGUAAGUCAUUUUUUUGAUCAUGGCUGUGAGAGAUGGACAUAAUUUAAAGCCAGUCCGUCGGUUAUUCCAAAUAGCAACACUAGCACAUGUGUAGAUGGUGAUUGGCUGAUGUAGUCUCUGAUAGAAGAUUAUGGUCCACACAACCAAAGCCAAGUCUUGCGCCAAACAAUAACACCUGUCAUACGGGAUCGCUCGACGCGCCCCAAUAUCUCAUGAUCAUCCCAAGACGGAAGAAGAAGAUGAAUUACAAGAAGGCAUAAACACUGUGCAUGGUCAAGGAAAGAACAAGUAUAAUGGAAUUAGAAGAAAAGCUGUCUAUAUUUCUUUUAUUUCUCGUUUUUCUGUCCGGCGCCAUUGGGCUCACUGUACGUUGUUUCUUUUGUCGAGGCACAGUGCGUGCCAGCAAACAAAACAACAAAACGAAAUAUCUAAACUCGCAAUGUAAAACAAGAAAUACUUCUCAAAAUCUUAAAUGGAGGAAAAAAGAUUUUCGUUUAGACUACCUGAUCUACAAAUCCCCAGUCGGGAAGGAUGUCUGGCGAGCAUAUUUACACAACAGCUUCCAAAUGGUGAACAUUCAACUUGUACCAGGAUCUGAUUUCGUUGUCGUUCAUGACUGGACAGUAAAUUUAGUCUCUAGUCGCCUUUACAAGCCUGGACAGUCUUUAUCGCUGGUCUAAUCCAUGAAAUAAUCAGUAUGAACUACUCCAUCUGAUUAUUUUCAGCUUCAUCAUCAUUACUAUUCAUGGCAAGUUUUCGCGUGAAUUAGUAUGAAUUAUAUGUAAGAAGAAUAGGAGAAUUUAUAAGAAAAACUAGGUGACAAAAAGUAACGACAUUUCGAUCACAUCUUGUCAUCAAGUAAAGUGAAAAGAGUCACUAGUUUUUCUUAUACAUUCUAUUUCUAAAUUAAGCCUUAUAAGGAGAAUAGUUAUGUUAUUCAAGUCUACUUUACACCAGGGCCCGGUUGUACGAAGCCUGGAUAGCGCUAUCCGGCGGAUAAAUCCUUAUCCAGUGGAUAAGUCGAUGUUGUUAUCCAAUAAAUUGAUCCACUGAUAAGAUUUAUGCAUUGGAUAGCGCUAUCCAGGCUUCUUACAACCGGGCCCUGAAUUUCUCCCAGUUUACGGUCUGUUUUGCAACUGCAAAACGCGCUUGAAUGACAAACAUUAAACUAGUUCGCAAGAAAGGUAUGUCAAUCAGUUCUUUAACUCUAAAGAAUCGGCACAUUUAAUCAUAGAUUGAUUUACUCAAAGACUUCCCUUCUGGUAGAGGCUCCCUUUAUUUCUCCUUAUUUUUCUUCGGUGAGAGGGCGGAAAAAAGGGAGGGUCCUUCUGAUCUUUUUGGGGGCAUUGCUUGAUUUAGCAAAAGAAAGUUGAGUUGUAACGACAUUGUUUUUUAGAACAUAGAAAUUGCAUUUAAAAACUAUCGACGCACCAUUGCGCAAAAAAAAACCUUGUUGGCUUCCAAGUCCCUUUUACAACGCCGUAAUAUUAGCUUUUAUACUUUGAUUUAAAGUCUUUUUUUUACAAUAAAGCUUCUUUAGAUUAUAUUUAACUAGCACCAGGAAAUCAUGAUACCAAGAAGAAAGGUAUCCCAAUAAUGACUGCAGAUCCGCCUUUACAAUUGCUUCAUUUUAUCAACUUUAGUAUGUAAAUUAGAAAAAGGCUUGCUUUCGGCUUGCCACUCCUAUAAUAAAGCCUAAGAAAAUAAAAGCCAUGAAAAAAAAACAAACAAAAACAAAACCCCAAAGUGUUUCAAAAAACGAGUUUAUGCUACCUAAAAGAAUGGUUUAAGGAAGUCCAAAGCUCAGGUGUAACCAUUGAUUAUUUAAGCCACGUUGGGUACACAGUGUAAUCGUUUGAUUGUAUGCCCCGGCUACAAUAGAUUUUGCUGCAGUAAUUUCAUUAAAUCGGCUAUCUAUACUAAAGCUAAAUUUGUUUAAGAAAUCUAACAAAGACACCGAAAUUGGACUCCAAAACCUGUAAAAAGAUGUUUAACUCUCAUUAUUAAGGACCACUAAUGUGGCACCAGCUAUUUGGUGUUCUAUUACUCAUCUUAAUUAGCAUGUUGUUUGCUUGCCUUGUUGCUGAUGUCAAAUCUCUGUUGAUAUAUAUCAAAUUCAAGGAGCUUGUAUCAUGUAAUUCCAAAAUAUAAUUGCAAUAGCUGGAAAGAAUACGUUAAAAUUUGUAAAAGUCAGUUUGAAGGAAGCGAAUGAGUUCAAAACUCGUGAAGUUAUGAAUUUUCAAAAUUUGUCUGAAAACAUAGUUGGUUACUCUCCUAAGCAGACGCUAAAAGGUUGACCUAUUACGUUCUAUCAGGUCCCUCACUAGCAAGAAAUGACCCUAACAUCGGCUGCGUAGAGACUAUUAGUUGGUAGGCAAGAGAUGCCUGCAUGCUGAAAUGUUUUAUUACAAAAUUCGCACUUUAAAAAAAUUAUAUCUUCGCGAUUUUGAAGUUACUAAUUUUAACAUGCUCUUUCCAGCUAAGGUAAUUAUUUUUCUCUUAUUUAAAAAAUACCGACUGGUAGAGUUUUUCUUUUGACUAUUCAUAAACUGAGGUCAUCAAAAUUGCUAUAAUACGAAUUCAAACGCCUUCCCAUCACUAGGCGUGGUUGUUUUACGUCUUAGUUUUUCUUCGGUUUCCUGGUUUGGAAAAUUUAUUUAAUAUCAUUUUAAUGAGUGUCGUGGAAAUUUUUACAACCAGAUUUACAACAAUGCAGUAGUAUUCGGUUCAUGAUUGCUGUUGCUCUUUCUCGUUUUAAUAAUUAAAAAACCACUUAAGAAUAAAA